rnacentral:rRNA from 1 species
ACUGCUCAGUAACACGUGGAUAACCUGCCCUAAGGUGGAGCAUAACCCCGGGAAACUGGGGAUAAUACUCCAUAGGUUAUAGAUGCUGGAAUGCUUUAUAACUCAAAGUUCCGGCGCCUUAGGAUGGAUCUGCGGUCGAUUAGGUUGUUGUUGGGGUAACGGCCCAACAAGCCUGUAAUCGAUACGGGUUGUGGGAGCAAGAGCCCGGAGAUGGAAUCUGAGACACGAUUCCAGGCCCUACGGGGCGCAGCAGGCGCGAAAACUUUACAAUGCAGGAAACUGUGAUAAGGGAACCCCGAGUGCCCGUAUACGCGGGCUGUCCAGGUGUUUAAAACGCACCUGAAGAAAGGGCCGGGCAAGACCGGUGCCAGCCGCCGCGGUAAUACCGGCGGCUCGAGUGGUGGCCACUUUUAUUGGGCUUAAAGCGUCCGUAGCUGGACUCCUAAGUCCCUUGGGAAAUCUCUUGGCUUAACCAAGAGGCGUCUAAGGGAUACUGGGGGUCUAGGGACCGGGAGAGGUGAGAGGUACUCCGGGGGUAGGAGUGAAAUCCUGUAAUCCCCGGGGGACCACCGAUGGCGAAGGCAUCUCACCAGAACGGCUCCGACAGUGAGGGACGAAAGCUGGGGGAGCGAACGGGAUUAGAUACCCCGGUAGUCCCAGCCGUAAACGAUGCGCGUUAGGUGUACUGGUGACCACGAGUCACCGGGGUGCCGAAGGGAAACCGUGAAACGUGCCGCCUGGGAAGUACGGUCGCAAGGCUGAAACUUAAAGGAAUUGGCGGGGGAGCAC